CAGGCUUAACACAUGCAAGUCGAGGGGCAGCAUGGUCUUAGCUUGCUAAGGCCGAUGGCGACCGGCGCACGGGUGAGUAACACGUAUCCAACCUGCCGUCUACUCUUGGACAGCCUUCUGAAAGGAAGAUUAAUACAAGAUGGCAUCAUGAGUCCGCAUGUUCACAUGAUUAAAGGUAUUCCGGUAGACGAUGGGGAUGCGUUCCAUUAGAUAGUAGGCGGGGUAACGGCCCACCUAGUCUUCGAUGGAUAGGGGUUCUGAGAGGAAGGUCCCCCACAUUGGAACUGAGACACGGUCCAAACUCCUACGGGAGGCAGCAGUGAGGAAUAUUGGUCAAUGGGCGAGAGCCUGAAUCAGCCAAGUAGCGUGAAGGAUGACUGCCCUAUGGGUUGUAAACUUCUUUUAUAAAGGAAUAAAGUCGGGUAUGGAUACCCGUUUGCAUGUACUUUAUGAAUAAGGAUCGGCUAACUCCGUGCCAGCAGCCGCGGUAAUACGGAGGAUCCGAGCGUUAUCCGGAUUUAUUGGGUUUAAAGGGAGCGUAGAUGGAUGUUUAAGUCAGUUGUGAAAGUUUGCGGCUCAACCGUAAAAUUGCAGUUGAUACUGGAUAUCUUGAGUGCAGUUGAGGCAGGCGGAAUUCGUGGUGUAGCGGUGAAAUGCUUAGAUAUCACGAAGAA
rnacentral:rRNA from 1 species